rnacentral:rRNA from 1 species
AGAGUUUGAUCAUGGCUCAGGAUGAACGCUAGCGGCAGGCUUAAUACAUGCAAGUCGUGGGGCAGCACAGGUAGCAAUACUGGGUGGCGACCGGCAAACGGGUGCGGAACACGUACGGAACCUUCCUUUAAGCGGGGAAUAGCCCAGGGAAACUUGGAUUAAUACCCCAUAACAUCAUAAAGUGGCAUCACUUAGUGAUUAAAGCUCCGGCACUUAAAGAUGGGCGUGCGGCUGAUUAGGUAGUUGGCGGGGUAACGGCCCACCAAGCCGACGAUCAGUAACUGGUGUGAGAGCACGACCAGUCACACGGGCACUGAGACACGGGCCCGACUCCUACGGGAGGCAGCAGUAAGGAAUAUUGGUCAAUGGACGCAAGUCUGAACCAGCCAUGCCGCGUGGAGGAUGAAGGCCCUCUGGGUUGUAAACUUCUUUUAUCUGGGAAGAAACCGGACUUUUCUAAGGCCGUUGACGGUACCAGAUGAAUAAGCACCGGCUAACUCCGUGCCAGCAGCCGCGGUAAUACGGAGGGUGCAAGCGUUAUCCGGAUUCACUGGGUUUAAAGGGUGCGUAGGUGGGCAGGUAAGUCAGUGGUGAAAUCUCUGGGCUUAACCCGGAAACUGCCGUUGAUACUAUCUGUCUUGAAUAUAGUGGAGGUGAGCGGAAUAUGUCAUGUAGCGGUGAAAUGCUUAGAUAUGACAUAGAACAUCUAUUGCGAAGGCAGCUCGCUACACUAUCAUUGACACUGAGGCACGAAAGCGUGGGGAUCAAACAGGAUUAGAUACCCUCGUAGUCC